rnacentral:rRNA from 1 species
UGAGGAAUAUUGGGCAAUGCCCGCAAGGGUGACCCAGCAACGCCGCGUGGAGGAUGAAUGUCGUAAGAUUGUAAACUCCUGUUAGAGGGGAAGAAUAGUACCGGUUGGACCGGUAUAUGACUGUACCCUCAGAGAAAGCCCCGGCUAACUACGUGCCAGCAGCCGCGGUAAUACGUAGGGGGCAAGCGUUGUCCGGAUUUACUGGGUGUAAAGGGCGCGCAGGCGGGAUAAAAAGUCAGUGGUGAAAUCCUACAGCUUAACUGUAGAACUGCCUUUGAUACUUUUAGUCUUGAGUUCGGGAGAGAGAGACGGAAUUCCAGGUGUAGUGGUGAAAUACGUAGAUAUCUGGAAGAACACCAGUUGCGUAGGCGGUCUCUUGGUCCGACACUGACGCUGAGGCGCGAAAGCGUGGGG